rnacentral:lncRNA from 1 species
CUACAUGGGCUUUCUAAUGAAGCUGCAUGCUGGGAUUGGCUCAUACUGGCUCAGGAGCAACCCUGGUUAGUGGUGACCAGCUGAGGUGUGAGUGUUUGUACAGAAAUAGGCUCUGGCCACAGGUCACCUCCCUCCCGGUGACUACAGAACAGGGGCCAUCAGGCCUCCGUCACCACCAUCAGGCUUGGGUGCCGUUGAAAAUUGAGGCGAGGAAAGGGGUGGUGUGACUUCCUUUGGUGCCCUGGGUGUUUUGCCUGUCUGUCAUGGGUCAGUAAGUCAAAGUCAGUAGGUCAGUCUGUCUCUGCACUGCUAUAGCCGCUUGGCUUGAACUGAUGAGCAAAUCAAAGGGAGGGAGAAGAAGAGAUGCCAGGCAAGGCAUCCCAGUGAUAAGUCAGGUGUUGAACAAAAUGGGGCUGUAGUUCAUUUCCAUCUGUAAAUUCACUUUAGACUGCUUUCUUUUUUCUUCGUAAGAAAAAAACUUUAUCACAAUGCUGGGAAAGAACUUGUGGCUGCUGCCAUGCUAGCCAAAGCACUCUACUGAGCCACACCUCCAGCCCAAGACUUUCUUGGUCUAUAGUAUAACUGCCAGAGAUUUGUCCCUUGAAACAUGUCCAAGUUAUUAACAGCCCAUGUACAGCCCACCGGGUCACAGUUACGCUCUCUUGCUUUGUACCAGGACCCAGUGUGGCCCCUGAGGAAGAGAUAUUACCACCUCAGGGGUUUCUUCCCUCUCCCAGACAGCUUCACUCACCGAGUUCUUUCAGCUGGAGGGGACAUCAGGUCCCAGAGCCAGUGUGCAGCACACAGCGGCUCUCUGCCUUUUGAUCUGCCUGUGACCUGCAACCCCUCACUUGACCCCCUCAUAAAUUCUGGAAACUCCUCACAAAUCACCAAGAAGAUAAACAUCAACUGGGGUCAUCAUAAGGAGGUCCAAGCAAUGCCAGGCAGACAGGGAGGAAACAGAGCUUACUUAGUGGAUACAAAGGUAUCAUGGACCCAUUGGCAGCUGAGGAGAGGCCAAAUGGUCCCGGCUGAUGUUACACACCUAACCCUGCAAUCCCAUGUCAAGCAGGAGCUGUGCCUAUGGGCUCAGAGAUGUCAUUUAGACUGUACCUUACAGGACCCAGGCGCUGUGGCAGAAUGCACCUGUGGCUAAGUGUGUUUGUGCACACACACGUACAUAUGCAUGCGAGUGCUGCCUGCAGUAGCUGACCAAACACACUCACCAUUGCACUAAGAUACUACAAGUCAUUUCUCCACAGCCUGGGGCUUUUCUCUCUCCCGCUUUGGCUGGUCUCCAACCUCUGUCUUGUCUGUCUCUCUUCUCAGAGGGUAUGAACUGCAUGAACAAAGACCAUGGCUGUGCCCACAUCUGCCGGGAGACGCCCAAAGGUGGGGUAGCCUGUGACUGCAGGCCCGGCUUUGACCUUGCCCAAAACCAGAAGGACUGCACACGUAGGUAGACGGAGGCAAAUGGGUCAGACACCCCCACGUGUCUCCUACCAUUGCUUUUGUGUGUGGCGGUGGGUCUGUUCAGGGUGCUGGAUGUUGCUCGGGGAAGGAUCUCAGCACCCUGGGGUAGGUGGAGGACGCGGUCUGCUGAGGGGCUCUGGGAAGCUGGAGGGAUGGGUCAUGACCUCCCAGUUUGGAGUUUUCUAUCCCUGGUAUGGUAUCAUCAACACAGCCCCAGGCACUGGCUUGGACCAUCUAGAGGGUCCUGAAGUCAAACUCUCCUGUGGGGGAGGGGGGCUAUAGCUCAGAAUUUUUAAAGCCUCAUUUUGUCUAUCAGCCUGAAAAGCCUUGGGUGACAGAACAGUAUAAAGAAGUAAAGGAGGGUGGAUGGCAGAGGGUAGAUGGGAGAAAGUGGACCUGAUGCUGACAGUUUCCCAGGUUCAAAGAUCAGGACCCAAGUAGUUCAGGCACUAGAGUGCUUGCCUUGCCUGGGUUCCUUCCAUCCCCAGCACCACAUAAGCCAGGCAUGGUGGUGCAUUCCUGCACUUGUAUAGAGACAGGAGGAGAAUUCAAAGUCACCCUCAGCUGUAUAAAGAGUUUGACUACAGCCUGUGCUACAUGAGACCCUGUCUCAAAAUCAAUCAAUCAAUCAAUCAAUCAAUCAAUCAAUAGCAGAACUCAGGGACCUCCACAGGCCUGAGCAGAACCAUGAGCCCCAUAUCUGAAGAAAGCAGCAGACCAGAGGUACCAUUUCAAGGCCUGCUUGCCUGCCUAGCAGAGACCUGUCCCAGGACUCAACAUAGACCAGCCUCUUUUUAUUGGGGGGUUUUAUGGGGACAAGGUUUCACUGUGUCCUAGAACUUGCUAUGUAGACCAGGCUAGCCAGGAAAUCACAGAGAUCCAUCUGCCUCUGCCUCCAGAGUGCUAGGACUAAAGGCAUGCUCCACACACCCAUCCCUAGUCCAUCCUCUUAAUGUGGGCAUCCAGCCCUUGAGUGAGAACAGAAUUAAGAAAGGAAACAGGAGCUUAAGGCAUUCAAAGGCUUCUAGAGCAUCGGGUACCACAUACCCUGCGAACAGCUUUGUGGGAAGGCCGUGGGCUGCAGGCUGUGCUCACUGGCCAUGGGGAUACCCAGGCUGGGUUUUAUUUGUUCUGGGUAUGCUGAGGACUGAGGGGACUUCAGAAACUACUUCCAACUCAGCGGAACCAGGUUUCAUUAGUCUUGUGCUGGGAUACAGAAACAGCAUCAGAAAGGCCGCUUCUGACUCUUGAAGGAUGUGCUCCCACUCAGCCGCCUGGGCUUCAGCUUCUGAGCUGACGGACGCCGCUAUAAAGGUCACAGCUUUUCUUUAUUCCUCCAUCCUGGGCCGAAGCCAGCUGGACCACCAUCCCCAGUCACUGCAACUCUCUUGGCUUCACCUUCCCCAAAGAGUUGCCAAGGCCCUGGGGACCCAUGAGCACCUGCUGUUCUCGCUGUCCCCAGGGACUCAUCCUUCAGCCCCCCAUGCUAACUACCCAUCUCCCAAAAUGAAGGCACUUUCAUCUCCAGGGUUUUGUGAACUUUUCCUACAGAGAUAUGAACAAGCGCCUGCCUGCUCGCCCUAGAUAUCGAUAGACAGGAGUAUGACUGCACCCAAGUCCAACUCGGGGAGCCAAUGGGUUCACUGGGCGUAUUAACAGAGCAUGGGUGACCUCAAAGCAGCCACACCACCAGCAGGUCUUGUGGCAGCAUGGAUGCUGGCUUCUCUACAGCCACAGACAGGAGCCCCUCCUGCAACUCCAUCCCUUAACCUUCCACAUUCGAUGUGUUCUAUCACCGCCUCAGACCACAUGCGGCUGGGGCAGAAUCGCAAACAUCUGCUCCGAUGAAGAAGAUAAUUGCUCUUGUAUUCAAGGAUAACAUUCGACAACAUCUGCCUGUGGUCAGGAUAGGGGCCAGUCUUCCCCAUUACUCCCAGAUCUUUCCCAGGGAACGCCAAAGACAUGCAUGCUGGCUGUCACCAAGGCAGCCUGGGCCCUAGCCUGACCCCAAUGAUGGAUUCUUCCAACUUCAAAGAAAACACACGCUACCUGGCCACUUUCAGAGCAGAUGGAGCCGACGCCGGCUCUCCCAGUCCUUGUGCUAAGUGAGGACAGGAGCAGGCACAGGCUGCAGACAAGCACGGAAGACUUGCUCCGUGCCAACACGAGGAAGAGGGCUGCUGGUGAGCUCACUGGACCAGUUUACUGCUAUAAUUCAUCUGAGACAAGUGCCACACAAGAAGGCUCACUCACAAGACUCCUCUGCGAAACCGGCUUGGCUGUUAGAAGGAUGUGGAAGCCUAAUUCUAAGGAGUUGGGACAGGCCCUAUGGCCUCCCUGGAAGGUGGGACUCAAGAGGUCUGUCUGACUUUGGUUCCUUCUUAGUGUGAUGUGUGGUUAAAGAUGACUUGGAAUACC